GAUAAAAAAAUUCUACCGCGCUGUUACUUCUAGCCUUGAACUUUAAUUCAGUUUUCAUAAAUGUUUGAGCAUUUUGUGCCCAAAGAACAUGCCCUGUCUACCGCGCACCAAAAAAGUUAAACUGUUUGAUUGAGUAUAACUUCAGAAUGAAAGAGCUCUUAUGCUAAAAUUAUGUUUUUUGUACAUCCUCUAAUGUCGGAAUUAAAUUUGGAUAUAUAGCAUGAGGUUUUUCGUACAAUUUGACCGAGAUAUCGCCGAUAUAUCCUAGUUGGAUAUAUUUGCAAUUCCUAGUAUACUCUAAAAAGUUCCCAUCUUAUUGCUCUUACAGAUCUUACAGAUUCAGAUUCACAAGGCAAUGAUAUUAGCAAAGAAAGUAAAAGUCCAAACAACCCAGAUGAAGGUGAUGAUCUUCCUAAAACUUGUGACAGCGAGUGUGCUCCAUCGGUACAUAGUUCUAAAAGGACAUUAACGUCAUUUCUAACCAUAGAAGCUCCUCAAAGCUCAUCCAAAGCUCCUUCGCUCGUCCAAACCAGUUGUAAUGAAAAAAGUGGUAGAGACCUUGCAGAAGACACCUAGGCUUUCCCAUUUGUUGGAAACAUUUACUAACCGCCAAUUAGCUGAUAGAGUGCGCUCAGAACGAAAAGCCAUUGUUCGUGCC